AUGUCUCUUGGAGUUCCUUUGAACGCUUCAUAUAUAUGAGGAAAAUUUUAAUCCUUUCUUUGAUGAAGUGUUUGGGGGAACUCUUAGGUUCAA
rnacentral:pre_miRNA from 1 species